rnacentral:siRNA from 1 species
GGGCAAAUAAUUUGCUACCGC